CGGUUUAGUAANUCUGAAGUUAAAGGCAUUGGCUCAACCAANGUAUGCUUUGGAAACUGUUAGACUUGAGUGCAGAAGGGGAGAGUGGAAUUCCAUGUGUAGCGGUGAAAUGCGUAGAUAUAUGGAGGAACACCGGUGGCGAAAGCGGCUCUCUGNUCUGUCACUGACGCUGAGGCUCGAAAGCGUGGGUAGCGAACAGGAUUAGAUACCCUGGUAGUNCACGCCGUAAACGCUGAGUGCUAGGUGUUAGNUCCUUUCCGGGACUUAGUGCCGACGCUAACGCAUUAAGCACUCCGCCUGGGGAGUACGACCGCAAGGUUGAAACUCAAAGGAAUUGACGGGGGCCCGCACAAGCGGUGGAGCAUGUGGUUUAAUUCGAAGCAACGCGAAGAACCUUACCAGGUCUUGACAUCCCGAUGCCCGCUCUAGAGAUAGAGUUUUUCUUCGGAACAUCGGAGACAGGUGGUGCAUGGUUGUCGUCAGCUCGUGUCGUGAGAUGUUGGGUUAAGUCCCGCAACGAGCGCAACCCUUAUUGUUAGUUGCCAUCAUUAAGUUGGGCACUCUAGCGAGACUGCCGGUAAUAAACCGGAGGAAGGUGGGGAUGACGUCAAAUCAUCAUGCCCCUUAUGACCUGGGCUUCACACGUGCUACAAUGGUUGGUACAACGAGUCGCAAGCCGGUGACGGCAAGCUAAUCUCUGAAAGCCAAUCUCAGUUCGGAUUGUAGGCUGCAACUCGCCUACAUGAAGUCGGAAUCGCUAGUAAUCGCGGAUCAGCACGCCGCGGUGAAUACGUUCCCGGGCCUUGUACACACCGCCCGUCACACCACGAGAGUUUGUAACACCCAAAGUCGGU
rnacentral:rRNA from 1 species